CUGCACUAAUCGGGGAGCCAGCGGUGCCCUGUACCUGCAAUCCGCUAUAGCAGGGAUGAAUUCCCCAUUGAGGGUGUGGGAUGUGUUGUCUGACUUCGAUAAGCAGUGAUGACGAUCCGGUCUCGCGCAACAGAAACCCGUGAACCAUGUCAGGCGGGGAACCGAGCAGCAUUAAGCGGUGCUUUCUGUGUGCCGUGAGGCAGCCGGGUCCGAGCCGGCUGUCGCUGUAACGGGCAUAGCUCAUUAUUCGAGGUGGGGUGUGCAG
rnacentral:SRP_RNA from 1 species